GCCCCCAUAGGUUAAUUUAAAAUCGUGAAGCUGUUAACUUUAAGUUGUUUAUAAGGACUGGGUGCG
rnacentral:tRNA from 1 species